GAUGCCCCUUUUGAGUAUGCCCCGUAUCGUGGUGGUUGUAGAACACCAAAAUUGUGAGGAACAGCAAGUUCUUGAGUGGACAAAUCCAUGUAGGAAAGUCUUCUGACAAAGUUCCAGAAUUGUUUAGCAUCAUGAAGCCCAUUAUUCCAUGUUAUAUUCAAUUCCAUUACAGAAACAAGUGGUUCUGCAGAUUGUUGCUAAAGUUGGAUAAGUACAGAAACCUGAUAUCUUUUUCAGAACCGACAAAGAAGACAAGUCAACUGGUUGCCAUGCGGUUGUGUUGUGAAAUAUAGCCACCCCGAUAGCAUUUUUCCUUCAAUGCCCUUGUCCAAAUUUUCUUCCCAGCCUUCGAAAGGUCCUUUGACUUAAUUUGUACUUGUAUAGUGGCAAAACAGUAAGCUUGUAAUCGAUUAUCCUUUGUUUAUAAAGGAGAAUGUAGCUAGUUUUUGUGUGCAA